GAUCUAAGUGUUUUGGAACGAGACACCCUCGACGGUCCGUCGUGCCCCUGACGGUCCGUCCUGGUAUCCGUCGACCCAGACAGUUGUUACCAGAAAUAAACUAUACUGCUCAAAACGACUAAAUAGUCGUUACAAAUUCUCAACAAGGUGGUAUCAAUUCUUCUGCUGGACCAGAUUAUGUUAACCAAAAUCAAACAUUAGCUCCUACUAAUUCGCCUCCUGCUCAAACAACAGCUCAUGGUAGUACUCCAUCUGUUCAUUUUGAAACACGUCAUGUAAUAUCUAAUCAGAGCAAUGGAAUAGGCGAAAGUGCAUCUACUCAAAGAAACGUGAUAGGGGAGGUGCCUACAUCUAGCCGGAACAACACAAUAGGUGAAGGAUAGGGGAGUCUUUCAAGAGUAAACUUGAUCCUAAUGGAAUUAAUUGAAAAGUGUCUCACAAGAAAUAAAAGAUUUUUAUCUCAGAGAAUUCGAGAAGGAAUUUUGUUGGGAUCCUUCCAUUGAUAGUGAAGUGAAGAUACUAUGGCGUAAGAAAGUUGCGAGAAGGAACACUGAUUUCUUGCUUAAAAAAAAGAUGCAGUUCGGCCAAGAUAUGUUUCCAAAAGAAACAUGGAAAAGUUGGUUGAGACUUUGGAAAGAUCCCAAGGUUAUUGAAAAGUUAAAAAAUAAACUCAAAAAAUCAGUGUGGCGGUCAAAAUGAAGUUGCAAAGGGGACUUACACGGGAGGCUCAUUGCAAAGAGACUUGCAAGUAUAUUUUCGCAGACCCUUAAUUUAUUUUAUAUGUGUGAUCUUAACCCUUCGGAACGUUGAAGUGCCUUUGUAUUAUGUUUGCAAUCCCACAAUUCGAGACUAUAAAAUGCUUCCUCCUUAAUACUUUCAUGGGAAAGAACAGACAGUUCUUGCAUUUGAGCCUUCUCUUUGUAACAUUGAGAUAUAUCAUCAUAUUAUUUAUGCAUUUCCUACAAUUGUUCAACCAA